rnacentral:rRNA from 1 species
ACGGAGGAUGCGAGCGUUAUCCGGAUUUAUUGGGUUUAAAGGGUGCGUAGGCGGACUUUUAAGUCAGCUGUGAAAGUUUGCGGCUCAACCGUAAAAUUGCAGUUGAUACUGUUAGUCUUGAGUGAAGUAAAGGGUGGCGGAAUUCGUGGUGUAGCGGUGAAAUGCUUAGAUAUCACGAAGAACUCCUAUUGCGUAGGCAGCUGACUGGACUUUAACUGACGCUGAUGCGCGAAAGUGUGGGUAUCAAACAG